ACUGCUGUAAUCAGGCUCAGAUACAAACAGGAGUCAUGCUUUUUGAGGUGAUUUUCUGCUGAUUUAGGGAAAAUGCAAGACGACUUCUCCUUAGAAAUGGUCAUUGAAAGCAAAGAUGCAAUGAAAUGUGCCAUAUUUUGUGAGAAAUGCAGGCAGAGUUUUUGGAAUCCGCACCAAAAGAAGUAAGAAAGGUGUUGGAUUGGAAAUGCUGCGUGCUGUGUUUAGGACUGAUUUCAGGACGGGUCUCUCCUUCACAUGAGACAGCUGCAGAGAUGAUGCUACUACAGUCUGCCAGAUUCAUUGACUGUAAGAGGAACAAUCCCACCGCCGAGACUGGACUCGUGCCAUGCUGUGUUGGGUGGCACCCAUGUGCCCUCGUCUGCUGACUCCUACACUUCCAUUCUCCUGCAUCGGCCUCCUGAAGACGACGAGCGGAUGAAAGAUUCAUGAAGGAGGUGAAUGUUGGGGCGCAACGAAACGAGUCGCAGCUCCAAACACUCGCCUCUCUUUCACCUGUGGCCCACCAGACGGCAGAACCGGUGUGUGUGAGCACAGACAGAAUAGCCCGGCUCUUCCCGUCUGCAGCUGUCCUCUGUAAAGCUGAGGAUCCAGCAGGUGUGUGUAACUCCUCAACAGGUCAUUCAUUUUCAGAUUUACUGACCUGAGCUUCAUUACCUGCUUAUU